GUGGGGAAUUUUGGACAAUGGGCGAAAGCCUGAUCCAGCAAUGCCGCGUGUGUGAAGAAGGCCUUCGGGUUGUAAAGCACUUUUGUCCGGAAAGAAAUCCUUUGGGUUAAUACCUCGGAGGGAUGACGGUACCGGAAGAAUAAGGACCUGCUAACUACGUGCCAGCAGCCGCGGUAAUACGUAGGGUCCGAGCGUUAAUCGGAAUUACUGGGCGUAAAGCGUGCGCAGGCGGUUUUGUAAGACAGAUGUGAAAUCCCCGGGCUUAACCUGGGAAUUGCAUUUGUGACUGCAAGGCUAGAGUGUGUCAGAGGGGGGUAGAAUUCCACGUGUAGCAGUGAAAUGCGUAGAGAUGUGGAGGAAUACCGAUGGCGAAGGCAGCCCCCUGGGAUAACACUGACGCUCAUGCACGAAAGCGUGGGGAGCAAACAGGAUUAGAAACCCUUGUAGUCC
rnacentral:rRNA from 1 species